rnacentral:tRNA from 1 species
UCCCUGGUGGCUCAGAGGUUAAAGCGUCUGCCUGCAAUGCAGGAGGCCUGGGUUCGAUCCCUGGGUCGGGAA